GACGAACGCUGGCGGCGUGCUUAACACAUGCAAGUCGAACGGAAAGGCCCUGCUUUUGUGGGUGCUCGAGUGGCGAACGGGUGAGUAACACGUGAGUAACCUGCCCUUGACUUUGGGAUAACUUCAGGAAACUGGGGCUAAUACCGGAUAGGAGCUCCUGCUGCAUGGUGGGGGUUGGAAAGUUUCGGCGGUUGGGGAUGGACUCGCGGCUUAUCAGCUUGUUGGUGGGGUAGUGGCUUACCAAGGCUUUGCCGGGUAGCCGGCCUGAGAGGGUGACCGGCCACAUUGGGACUGAGAUACGGCCCAGACUCCUACGGGAGGCAGCAGUGGGGAAUAUUGCACAAUGGGCGGAAGCCUGAUGCAGCAACGCCGCGUGCGGGAUGACGGCCUUCGGGUUGUAAACCGCUUUCGCCUGUGACGAAGCGUGAGUGACGGUAAUGGGUAAAGAAGCACCGGCUAACUACGUG
rnacentral:rRNA from 1 species